GGCCUGAUGGUCUAGUAGUAUGAUUCCUUGUUAGGGUGAAUACGACAUUCGCAUCUCGAGGAGGUCCUGGGUUCAAUUCCCAGUCAGGCCC